ACAAGGACAGUUGAGGGCACUAGGACUAGAGCAAUUUCAGGAAUCAUUUAUUUACCUUGCUGGCGCGUACGCGCCCAGCCGAGUUGUGCGCGUUCACAGUGUUGGGUGCAGAACAUACGAGGCUACGGGUUCUAUCUCGCUGUCUCUUCUGUAGGACAUGUUCACUGACGAAUCCCAUAUUUGUUUUAUUCUCACUGAAGCAGUGCGAACUGGGCUUAGUAGUGGGAUGCUGAAAAAUACAAGUCAUUGCUGUCGAAAACCUCAACAGUAGUAAAGUGCGCGGCACACUGCGGCUAAGAGGAUAUAGAGAAGAGACCCUUGGUGUGGUGGUUUGUCCUGCGCUUACAGUAUGAUGGAGGCUGGCUGUGGGGUUGCCGCGGUGAUCGGGAAUGCUUCCUCAGGACCACAGGGAAAACCAGGAAGUGGUGACGUCCUUGAGGGGGCCAUGUCACUGUGUAUUACACCAGAUGAAGACAAGAACCAGCCUGAUCCAUACAAGAGCACUAUUCCAACAGAUAAGUCCCCACAAGGGAGCACAAUGGCCAUGGUACAGUCUUUUAUUGCUAGAGGAGGUCUGAUAAGAGCACUGUAACCCGGGAACAGCAGUCUCUUAACUCUAAUACUAUGUAGUCUUAUAGAUACUGCUAGUAUGGGUUUGACCAUCAUGUAAUUGGUUUACACUUCAGGAAUGUUGAGUAUCGUGUGUGUUAAUUGGCAGAUAUUGAGUAUUGUGUGUUGAUUGGCAGGUACGGAAUGAUGAGCUCACAGAGCUUCCUGUCGAGCCUGAGCCCACCCUGCGUUCCUGCAUCAGCACAGCCAGCAUGAAGGUCAAAAACGUGAAGAAGUAGGUGCUCCUGUCCCCACGGAAACAGGCUAUUAUGGGCUGUAAAAUGGGCCUCUAAACCAGGGCAGUA
rnacentral:lncRNA from 1 species